UGUUUGAUGUUCUAACGUGGACCCGUGAUCCGGGUUGCGGACAGUGUCUGGUGGGUAGUUUGACUGGGGCGGUCUCCUCCUAAAGAGUAACGGAGGAGCACGAAGGUUGGCUAAUCCUGGUCGGACAUCAGGAGGUUAGUGCAAUGGCAUAAGCCAGCUUGACUGCGAGCGUGACGGCGCGAGCAGGUGCGAAAGCAGGUCAUAGUGAUCCGGUGGUUCUGAAUGGAAGGGCCAUCGCUCAACGGAUAAAAGGUACUCCGGGGAUAACAGGCUGAUACCGCCCAAGAGUUCAUAUCGACGGCGGUGUUUGGCACCUCGAUGUCGGCUCAUCACAUCCUGGGGCUGAAGUAGGUCCCAAGGGUAUGGCUGUUCGCCAUUUAAAGUGGUACGCGAGCUGGGUUUAGAACGUCGUGAGACAGUUCGGUCCCUAUCUGCCGUGGGCGCUGGAGAACUGAGGGGGGCUGCUCCUAGUACGAGAGGACCGGAGUGGACGCAUCACUGGUGUUCGGGUUGUCAUGCCAAUGGCACUGCCCGGUAGCUAAAUGCGGAAGAGAUAAGUGCUGAAAGCAUCUAAGCACGAAACUUGCCCCGAGAUGAGUUCUCCCUGAGACUUUAAGUCUCCUGAAGGAACG
rnacentral:rRNA from 1 species